rnacentral:rRNA from 1 species
AACGAACGCUGGCGGCAUGCCUAACACAUGCAAGUCGAACGAGACCUUCGGGUCUAGUGGCGCACGGGUGCGUAACGCGUGGGAACCUGCCCUUAGGUUCGGAAUAACUCCCCGAAAGGGGUGCUAAUACCGGAUAAUGUCUUCGGACCAAAGAUUUAUCGCCUUUGGAUGAGCCCGCGUUGGAUUAGCUAGUUGGUAGGGUAAAAGCCUACCAAGGCGACGAUCCAUAGCUGGUCUGAGAGGAUGAUCAGCCACACUGGGACUGAGACACGGCAGACUCCUACGGGAGGCAGCAGUGGGGAAUAUUGGACAAUGGGCGAAAGCCUGAUCCAGCAAUGCCGCGUGAGUGAUGAAGGCCUUAGGGUUGUAAAGCUCUUUUACCCGGGAUGAUAAUGACAGUACCGGGAGAAUAAGCUCCGGCUAACUCCGUG